GAGUUUGAUCCUGGCUCAGGAUGAACGCUAGCGGCAGGCCUAAUACAUGCAAGUCGAACGGCAAGAUUUGGUAGCAAUACUGAAUCCUAGAGUGGCGCACGGGUGAGUAACGCGUACAUGACAUACCUAUAAGCGAGGGAUAGCAUUGGGAAACUGGUAGUAACCCCUCAUGUGAUUAUUUGUAAUAAAGGUAAAUAAUUAAAACUACGGUGCUUAUAGAUUGGUGUGCGUCUGAUUAGCUAGUUGCCUCGGUAACGGCUCACCAAGGCGACGAUCAGUAGGGGGCGUGAGAGCGUGAACCCCCACACGGGUACUGAGACACGGACCCGACUCCUACGGGAGGCAGCAGUAAGGAAUAUUGGUCAAUGGAGGGAACUCUGAACCAGCCAUGCCGCGUGCAGGAUGAAAGCCCUCUGGGUUGUAAACUGCUUUUAACAGGGAAGAAAAUGCUAUACGUGAUAUAGUACUGACGGUACCUGAGGAAUAAGCACCGGCUAACUCCGUGCCAGCAGCCGCGGUAAUCCG
rnacentral:rRNA from 1 species